UAAUACUGGAUAGGCAAUUAUUCCUGUAAUGGUUUUUUGUUUAAAUGUUUUUUCGCCUAAGGAUGGGUCUGCGGCCGAUUAGGUAGUUGGUUAGGUAAUGGCUUACCAAGCCUUUGAUCGGUACGGGUUGUGAGAGCAAGUGCCCGGAGAUGGAACCUGAGACAAGGUUCCAGGCCCUACGGGGUGCAGCAGGCGCGAAACCUCCGCAAUGUGAGAAAUCGCGACGGGGGGAUCCCAAGUGCCAUUCUUAACGGGAUGGCUUUUCUUUAGUGUAAAAAGCUUUUGGAAUAAGAGCUGGGCAAGACCGGUGCCAGCCGCCGCGGUAACACCGGCAGCUCUAGUGGUAGCAAUUUUUAUUGGGCCUAAAGCGUCCGUAGCCGGUUUAAUAAGUCUCUGGUGAAAUCCUGUAGCUUAACUGUGGGAAUUGCUGGAGAUACUAUUAGACUUGAGACCGGGAGAGGUUAGAGGUACUCCCAGGGUAGAGGUGAAAUUCUGUAAUCCUGGGAGGACCGCCUGUUGCGAAGGCGUCUAACUGGAACGGUUCUGACGGUGAGGGACGAAAGUUAGGGGCGCGAACCGGAUUAAAUACCCGGGUAGUCCUAACUGUAAACGAUGCGGACUUGGUGU
rnacentral:rRNA from 1 species